GAAGUGAUCGACACCAAGGCUGAUGUAACGCCGUCGCAGAUGGAAGUUGACAUUAGAAUGAAACGAUGCUCCAACGAGCACGCCCCGUCUGAUC
rnacentral:snoRNA from 1 species